UGCAGUCGACGCGGUUAGUAGCAAUACUAACUGAGUGGCGAACGGGUGAGUAACGCGUGGGUGACCUACCUUCGAGUGGGGGAUAACGUCCCGAAAGGGACGCUAAUACCGCAUGACAUCCUGCCUUUGAACAGGCGGAGAUCAAAGCCGGGGAUCGCAAGACCUGGCGCUUGAUGAGGGGCCCGCGUCUGAUUAGCUAGUUGGUGAGGUAACGGCUCACCAAGGCGACGAUCAGUAUCCGGCCUGAGAGGGCGGACGGACACACUGGGACUGAGACACGGCCCAGACUCCUACGGGAGGCAGCAGUGGGGAAUUGUUCGCAAUGGGCGCAAGCCUGACGACGCAACGCCGCGCGGAGGACGAAGAUUUUCGGAUCGUAAACUCCUUUCGAUCGGGAAGAACAGCUCCUGGGUUAAUAGCCCGGGAGUCUGACGGUACCGAGAGAAGAAGCCCCGGCUAACUCUGUGCCAGCAGCCGCGGUAAUACAGGGGGGGCAAGCGUUGUUCGGAAUUACUGGGCGUAAAGGGUCAGUAGGCGGCCAACUAAGUCCGACGUGAAAUCCCAAAGCUUAACUUUGGAACUGCGUCGGAUACUGGAUGGCUUGAAUUCGGGAGAGGGAUGCAGAAUUCCAGGUGUAGCGGUGAAAUGCGUAGAUAUCUGGAGGAAUACCGGUGGCGAAGGCGACAUCCUGGACCGACAUUGACGCUGAACGACGAAAGCUAGGGGAGCAAACGGGAUUGGAUACCCCGGUAGUCCUAGCCCUAAACGAUGAAUGCUUGGUGUGGCGGGUAUCGAUCCCUGCCGUGCCGAAGCUAACGCAUUAAGCAUUCCGCCUGGGGAGUACGGUCGCAAGGCUG
rnacentral:rRNA from 1 species